CCAUCGGCUCUUAUCAGAGCCACCGACCCAAUAGUUAAAAGAACAC
rfam:Anopheles culicifacies strain species A-37_1 cont1.7515, whole genome shotgun sequence.